GGGCCCGUGGCCUAGCCUGGAUAAGGCGUCGGCCUGCGGAGCCGGAGAUCCCGGGUUCAAAUCCCGGCGGGCCCGCCA
rnacentral:tRNA from 1 species